AACGAUGAAGCUUUUAGCUUGCUAGAAGUGGAUUAGUGGCGCACGGGUGAGUAAUGCAUAGGUUAUGUGCCCUUUAGUCUGGGAUAGCCACUGGAAACGGUGAUUAAUACUAGAUACUCCCUACGGGGGAAAGUUUUUCGCUAAAGGAUCAGCCUAUGUCCUAUCAGCUUGUUGGUGAGGUAAUGGCUCACCAAGGCUAUGACGGGUAUCCGGCCUGAGAGGGUGAUCGGACACACUGGAACUGAGACACGGUCCAGACUCCUACGGGAGGCAGCAGUAGGGAAUAUUGCUCAAUGGGGGAAACCCUGAAGCAGCAACGCCGCGUGGAGGAUGAAGGUUUUCGGAUUGUAAACUCCUUUUGUUAGAGAAGAUAAUGACGGUAUCUAACGAAUAAGCAC
rnacentral:rRNA from 1 species